rnacentral:sRNA from 1 species
AGUGGUUUGUUCUUAGGGUAACAGAGGAGGAAAUUGUUCCUCGUCUGAUAAGACAACAGUGGAGAAAGGACGCAUGCUGUUUCUUAGGGACACGGCUGACUUCCAGAUAUGACCAUGUAUUUGUGGCUUAAACUCUUGGCAUUUGGCUUUGCCUUUCUGGACACAGAAGUAUUUGUGACAGGGCAAAGCCCAACACCUUCCCCCACUGGUGUUUCAUCAGUACAGACGCCUCACCUUCCCACGCACGCAGACUCGCAGACGCCCUCUGCUGGAACUGACACGCAGACAUUCAGCGGCUCCGCCGCCAAUGCAAAACUCAACCCUACUCCAGGCAGCAAUGCUAUCUCAGAUGCCUACCUUAAUGCCUCUGAAACAACCACUCUGAGCCCUUCUGGAAGCGCUGUCAUUUCAACCACAACAAUAGGUGAUAUUACCCUCAGUCAGGCAGCCACACCAUCCCCAUGUGCCUGGUGAUGUGCUCUCACAAGGGCCUUCCACCCACUCUACCUCAGGCUCCUUUCUUUAAGUUGCAUUAAGUGUUUGAAUCCUGAGGGUGAUGGAACAGCAGGAAGAUAUUUCUCUGCUUAGCAGUGCAACAGCUGAUGAGAUCAGGAUGUAAUUGUUACUGUCAUAAUCCAUCAGAAAGCAUGUGUGAGAAACAACCACAUCUACUAGAACUUUUUCUCACAGGGGUUUAGGUCUUAGUAAGGAAAAGAACAAGCCCAUCAAAGGGGCUGUCCAUUGCAAGUGGUGAGCAUCAGACGGCUGAUGGCAGAGUUCCCGUUAAGCAGUGAGAAGGCGUGGAGAUAAAGGAAAGAGAAACUGAGGAAUGGCUGCAGCAAUGGUGGUAUCUGUGAAUCAGCAAGUAAGCUGAUCAGAGCUUGCAAGCCCACAAUUCUCCUCAAAUUCUUCCAACCCAAAAUCAA